UAUCCAGUUUUGUAUAUUAUUUCUUAUUGUUCAGUUUUGUAAUAUUAUCUCUUACUAUUUGAUUUCUUAUUGUUUAUUUUUAAAUUGGUCAAUGAAAUUUUGAUUGUUGAAUUAUGAUUGUAACGUCAUUUAUGCAAGUUGAAAUGGUUGUUGCUGUUGGGACUUGAGUGGAGUUUUAUUGUAUGAGUGACAGUGGAGUUCAAUUUAGGAGUGUUUUGGUGUUGCUGUUGGUCUUUUACUCUUUUCUGGAGUUCAUAUGCGUCUUUUUUUGUCAAGGACAUGAUAAGUUUCUUUGCAUAUUCUUUAUUUUGUUCACUGUCUUAAAUUGUUAACAAAUUCAAAGAGGUUAGACGAAGGAGAAUGCAUUAGUUGACAAAAGAAUCCAAAUAUAGAAAUCAUUCAUACCAAUGUGGGAAGGAACACACUUUACUGCUUGAAUGGUUUACAAUUAAGACUUGACUGUCUGGCUAAUGUUAUAUUUAUGUGUAUUUAUUUGAGUUCUAUUUCUCUCUGCAAUAGUUGAUAAAGAAGUAUCAAAUGACUCGAAAAUGGGAUGAAAAGCUUGGUUUUGAAGAAGAUAAGGGCAGUGAAGAGAACCACAACCAGAACAACACCAACAACGUUGAGAACAACAAUGCAACUAUGGUUCCAGCAUUGGAUCACAAUAGCAAAAUUAUUGGAGAGAGUAUUGACUUGAUUGAAUAUGCAUUCUUUCUUAAAAUAUUUUUAUAAGAUGUGCAUAUUUCAUUGCUGCUCUUAAUAGAAACUUUAGUAUCUCUUAACUUCAGCUGAAGUAAUGUUAUGAAAAUAUUGUAGGAUGCUGACAAAAAGAAGUUUAUUGAAGAAUUGUUGUCCUACACUGAUACAUUCAACAGGGAUGUAUAUACUUUUAUUCAAAGGAGACCCUGUAAAACAAGCUGGUAUGUGUUGAAAGGUGUUGUAUUUCCAUGGUUAGCGGUUUUUGUAUAUAAACUGAACUAAAAAAUUUAGUUGGGGUUGGUGAUCUAGAAUUUUCAAGAGAUUAAAUGUAACUUUAAUCUGAUUCUUUAACAAUAGUUGUUGCGGGUUUUGUUUAGAUGUGGGGAUUGGUUUUGGUGGGUAGGGUAGAUCUUUUUAAUUGGGGUUGGUGAUCUAGAAUUUGAGUGUUAUGUGAAAUUUUAGGUUUUGAUCUUUGAGAUGGGUGAUAUUGUUGGAAAUUUUGAUGUGGGUUUUUCUGAAAUGUAGUGAGAGAAGAAUUGUGUGAUUUGUUAAGAGUUUGAUGAAUUCAUUGCUUCAAGAAAGAAUGUAAAGAGAGGGAAUGAAAGA